rnacentral:rRNA from 1 species
GACGAACGCUGGCGGCGUGCUUAACACAUGCAAGUCGAACGCGCCUGUCCUCUGGGUUUCUGGGGGGGGGGUGAGUGGCGAACGGGUGAGUAACACGUGAGUAACCUGCCCCCUUCUUCGGGAUAACGGUCUGAAAGGGCUGCUAAUACCGGGUAUUCACUGGUCUCCGCAUGGGGUCUGGUGGAAAGGUUUUUUUCUGGUGGGGGAUGGGCUCGCGGCCUAUCAGCUUGUUGGUGGGGUGAUGGCCCACCAAGGCUUUGACGGGUAGCCGGCCUGAGAGGGUGACCGGUCACAUUGGGACUGAGAUACGGCCCAGACUCCUACGGGAGGCAGCAGUGGGGAAUAUUGCACAAUGGGCGCAAGCCUGAUGCAGCGACGCCGCGUGAGGGAUGGAGGCCUUCGGGUUGUGAACCUCUUUCGCCCGUGGUCAAGCCGCGACGUGGGUCGUGGUGAGGGUAGUGGGUAAAGAAGCGCCGGCUAACUACGUG